UACGUAGGGGGCAAGCGUUGUCCGGAAUUAUUGGGCGUAAAGAGCGUGUAGGCGGCCAGAUAAGUCCGCUGUGAAAUCUCGAGGCUCAACUUCGAGCUGUCGGUGGAAACUGUCUGGCUAGAGUCCGGAAGAGGAGAAUGGAAUUCCCGGUGUAGCGGUGAAAUGCGCAGAUAUCGGGAAGAACACCCGUGGCGAAGGCGGUUCUCUGGGACGGUACUGACGCUGAGGAGCGAAAGCGUGGGGAGCGAACAGG
rnacentral:rRNA from 1 species